rnacentral:lncRNA from 1 species
CUUUUAUCUGGAACUUUGACGCCAACAGAUGCAUCCGUUGGUCCUUCUGACAGUUUGUAGCAUGUAAUACAAACACAUUUUGAGAGUUAGCUGUCGACUACGCUUGUGAGCUCUGAAUAAUGGAUUCGCCCUACUGUUUGGUUCAAUGGCAGGGCCAAUCCUGGCCAGCUGAGAGAGUCAAGUCAUCAAAGAAGCAGAAGCUGGUUGAGGUAGAGAUUCUGGGUGAACAGACCAGGGUGUGGAUAAAGCCUGCAGAAACAUCUCCUCUAACCUGGCAGCAGAUUGAAGAUAUUUGUGCUCAGCUGAGUAGGAACUCAGCGGGCGAGGUGGAUGCUGUACAUGACCUGAAGUAUCGCAAGGCGCUGCGUAUAGCACUGAAUCUUUUGGGUAGAGGAGAUGACCGUACUCACCCCAGGCCAGGAGGUUCCAACAGCGCUGCAAGGAAUAGUGAACAGCAGUCCAUGUUGGACAAAGUUCAGUAA